rnacentral:lncRNA from 1 species
CAAAUUAAAAGAUAACCUUUCGAUUGUAUAGUUAAAAUAGAAACUAUGGACAAGAAAAGAGGUAAAUAUGAUCAGUAAAUACACAAAGGCAAGUCUGGGGGCCCACUGUACAAUCAAAAUAAAGAAGACAAAAUUGAAAAUGAAGACAAAAUGAAGAAGACAAAAUUGCCAUAACCCUGCUGAAACUGUAUGUGUAUGGGGAGAAAUUUCAAUGCCAAUGCAAGCAGAGAACAAGUCUUUCAGCAAUGAGAAAAGCGAUCCAAUCGGUGUUUUUCUGUUGUCUCUGUAGAUUUUUUUUUUUUUAAUGUAUGGCUUGUUAAUGACUAGUAAGGGUUAAACCUUAUUUUGAUUUUGUUCUUAACUUUUAAAUUGACUUUUUAUUCAUUUUUCCCGUUUUUAAAAUGUGAUGUUUAAUUAUUUCUUAUUAAUAGAAAAAGCUCUUAGUAAAGGUAACAAAAGGAAUGGCAGAAGCCGCAAUUACUUUUGUGCCAACAUAGUAAGAAUAUUGAGCAUCUUCCUGUUGUAUUUACCAUAAGCCAUUUCCCAAAUGGUUGUUAUAUAUUUGUAUAUUUUUACAGACUGUAUAUUGGGUAUGUUUAUGCCAUAAAAUCUUCAGUCUUUGUAUUUUCUUUAGUUAUCAUCAUGUUUAGAAGUCCUUCAAUUGGGAAAGGUGAGCUCAGGGGACUUUAUUGAUGGUAACCGACAAGGUGAGCCCAAGCCUUCUCCAUGGUGGUGAAGAAACUGGUGGCGUCCACUAUGUACUCAGUACCAGCAUCACCUCAUUUGAUUUUGGUGGGAUCUCUAUCCUGGAAGAUGAUGAUGGCAAUUCCAUUGAUGACAAGCUUCCCGUUCUCAGCCUUGAUGCUGCCAUGGCAUUUGCCACGGGUAGAAUCAUACUGGAACAUGUAGACCAUGUAGUAGAGGUCAAUGAGGGAGUCAUUGAUGGCGACAGUAUUCACUUUACCAGAGUUAAAAGCAGUGCUGAUGACCAGGUGCCCAAUAUGGCCAAAUCCAUUGACUUGGGCCUUUACUUCCACCAUAGUGUGUCAGGGAUGCCAAUGGCGCUGCAUGAGAAGAUGCAGCUGUCUGUCGAACUGGAGGAGCAGAGAGCCUAUAAUUUUCAUGUUGAACUAUUUUAUGUUAAUUUUAUUAAGUUAUGCUAG